GGUUCUUGGAAGCAAAGCCUGUACAGGCUCCCAGGGUGAGGCUUGCUGGGGUUCUCCUGCUUUUCCUUACCCGUGGGGUGCAACCCCUCUGAGGGGAUCCCCCCUGGUCCCAAGCUGCUUUGGACUCGGGGAUGCAGUGCAGCAGGUCAAAGGCUGCCCUUGCUUCUCUACUUCUGCCUGGUUUUUGAGCUCUUAGCAUUUCUGCCGCUUCUUCGCUGCAGUCCAGAGACUUCACAGAGCUAUUUCCAUCAAUCUGUAGCUGUCUUUUUAUUGUACUGGGUUUCGUGGGGGCCCUCUUGCUGAUGUCACCAUCAGCUCUGGGAGUUCCCACAGUCCCCCCGGGGAGCCCAACGUGUAGCCAGUGUUGGAGUAUCCUACAAACAUAGCGUUCCAAAAAAAGAUUACGAUUUAGUAGAGGACCCAGCAUCAGUAAGAUUCAUAAAUGGAGUCAGUGUCUAUCUGGAACGCCCUGUCAUUGUCUGGUCCUUGAGGUUUAAGAUAUGACUUAAACAGCCCUAAGAGUCUGCAUUUUUUACUGUCCUGAUAAACGCUGAGCUGUGCUUACACUGGGCAUCUCGUCAGCCAGUCAGUGUGCAUUCGUUGAGGUCCCAGUACCUUCAGGACCUGUGUGGACGCUGGGGAUGCUGAGGUGAAGGACACAGAGUCCCUGGCUUCCACCUGCUUAGAGCUGACAUCCUGUGUCUCCAGAGCCAUGAGAUGCAGACUUUUACAAACUCUCAGCUUUUAUGACCAAAUCAUUUCUGUCUUAAUUCAUGCCACCCAGGGCAUCAAAAAACCUUCAUUAUGGGGGUUACUCUUAUCGCAGAGGAGAGACGUCUGGGGGCUCCCAAAUCCGCUCAGGGUCUAGACAUCAUCAGGAGUUAAGCCGGCAGCACUGCCCAGUGCAGGCUCACCAAUCUCCUGCGUGGUCCUGCCUUCUUCCCUGGGGGAUGGGGAAUCAAGGAAAUAGAACACGGACUCAAGUAGCAAAUGCCAAGAAUAAGGGUGGUUUGGAUAGAAGAUGAAAACAGAAGGGUUUCUAUGGAACCAGGGCAGAUCUUGGGGCCGUGUGACGAGUGAGCCGAGCAAGAGACCUUCUGGAAGAAACGUCGCAGUCGCUGAGAGCACAGCUGCAGCCACAGGCCAGUGUGAGGAAAUGAGAACCCAGGUGCAUGACCUCCAGGGUCCUUUCUCAGCAGCAGCCCUGGGGAGGCCCCUCAGGACGGGGCUCCAGGUGGGUGCUCGUGUCUCAUGGACGGUUCUCUCACGGGGCUGUGUGCUGGCCGAGGAAGCAAGAUGACCGAUGGUCUCACGGUUGCUGAGGGGAAUGACGGGUGUUGAAGACACUGAACCCACUGACCUGGAAUGGUUUCCAGUAGAAUGUGCGUUCUCACCUCUGUUGAGAACCACUCAGGACAAGAUGAUGGUUUCCUCUUCUGUACUCCUCACCUGGGGCAGAGGACAGGAUAGGGCAUAAAAAUUUAUCCAACAAAUUAUUACUUUAUGCAAUGCUGAACAAUCUGUAUUUUGUUACACCGAUAUAACAUGUCACUUGGGUCAUACCCCGAAUUUCCAUAAAUGUAUGAAUUUCCAUAAAUGUAUGUAUGAAUGUA